rnacentral:lncRNA from 1 species
CGUUCAAGUCUCCUUCAAAUCUUCAAUCGUUUGAGUAUUCAAAUCUUCAAGUAUCCUUCGAAUCUUCAAGUAUUUGAGCAUUCAAAUCUUCAAGUAUCCUUCAAAAUCUUCAAGUAUUCAAGGAUCUUCAAAUCUUCGAGUAUUUCUUCAAAUGUUCAAAUAUUCCUGCGAAUCUUUGAAGUGAUCUUCAAGUAUCCAAAGAAAUCAAGUUCAAAAGCUUCAAGGCAUUCUUACAAAUUCUAAGAAUGUUCUCAAAUCAAAUCAAGUUCAACGUUCAAUCCAAAAUCAUGACUU